CCCUUCUCUGAACAUUAUACACAGAAGUGGCCAGUCUGGACUGUGGGCGGAACUGAACCUCUCGUUCGUAAUUCCUCGGAGUGGAAGCCAUGCGUGCGAGGAAGCUCUGAGAUCAAAUUGAGAUCCUUCUGUCCCGUCCCCGUAGCGGUCAGUGUAUAGAAGUGGGAAAACCUGGCCUAGACUGUAAUUUCCUCUGCUUUCUGUGUAAUUCUCGUUUCUGUUUAAGUGUCGGCAGACAAAUGGGUGGGUCUCUGGGUAAACCCUCUAAGGAUAGUCCUUUAAAUUAUAUGUUAAGUAAAUGGCCUUUGUCCAAUGGGCCAUGUGUUUUUGUCCAGGUGGCAAGCCUCACGAGGGAGGACUCAGGUAGUCUUGUGAGUAAAAAUGUUGAAGGGAAGAGACCAGGAGGGGUGGGGGCUAGUUGAGAAGCCCACCCUCCUAGCUAAACUGGCGGUGGAACAAGUUGAUGCCCAUGGAAGGGACGGUUCAGCAAGAAAAGCAGGAUCGGGCCCAGGCAGGCAACAGACAGAGAGAUUGGAAAACGGGUUGGAAAACUUUGAGGGUGUAGUGGAAGGAAGGAGUCAGUAAGUGUAAGCAUGGGGAUUUCAAAUACCCAGGACUUACUUGGAAUGGUGAGUUAGGUUGAUAAAAGUGGCUGUCGGGAGACAAGCAAGUGAUUUAAGGGAGAGGGAGAAGUUAACUCUGUAGUUGCUGGA